rnacentral:lncRNA from 1 species
AAUCAGGAGGCGGCGACUCGGGGCGCGGAGAGCUCCGGGCCGGGGUUUUGGUGCCUUGCCUGGGCCGGGGCGAGGCCCUGCGGGAGCCGACUGGGAAGGAUCCGCACGUUGCUGCCUUUCAGCCUCCAAACCUUCGCUCUGGCCGUUCUCUCCACCUGGAAUACCCUUCCGAGCCUCUCUUCACCUCCAUGUCAUUAACUCGCAUACAUCCUUUCAGAUAUUUCCUGAGGGCUUGUGAUUUGCCAGAUCCUGUACCAGGUGCUGGAACUUGGUGAUAGACAAUCCACAGUCUCUGCUCUGAAGACAUCCAUGCAGGUACUAACAGGUCAGCCUGGUAAAUCCUGCGAAGGCUUCAGCACAGGGUGCUGUUGGGGAAAGAGGAGAUGGGGUGUGUAGGGUAAGGGGGAAUAGCAGCUCAUUCCAGACAGGAAAAACUGGGUGCGUAGCCCAGAGGGGAGAAGACAGUCUGUGCACAAGCUCAGUGAAAGGGGAGGGAAUGUCAAGAAGGCAGCAGGAGUUGGAAGGGGCAAGGCCCUGCAGCAGAUAUGCAGUCCUGGGACCCUCAGCAUCACAGCAGCAACCUCACCUGGAGCCUUUAGAAAUGCAGUCUCAGCUGGACAUGGUGGCUCAUGCCUGUAAUCCCAGCACUUUAGGAGGCCGAGGCGGGCGGAUCACGAGGUCAGGAGUUUGAGACCAGCCUGGCCAAUAUGGUGAAACCCUGUCUCUACUAAAAAUACAAAAAAACUAGCUGGGUGUGGUAGCGGGCGCCUGUAGUCCCAGCUACUCGGGAGGCUGAGGCAGGAGAAUGGAGUGAACCCGGGAGGCGGAGCUUGCAGUGAGCCGAGAUCGCGCCAGUGCAUUCCAGCCUGGGCGACAGAGCGAGACUCUGUCUCAAAAAAAAAAAAAAAAAAAUUAUCCAGGCAUGGUGGUGUCACAUGCCUGUAGUUCCAGCUACUCAGAAAGCUGAGGUGGAAGGAUCACCUGGGCCUGAGAGAUUGAGGCUGCAGUGAGCCAUGAUCAGGCCACUGCACAGUCUCAAAAAAAAAAAAAAAGAAAGAAAACAAAUGCAGAGUCUGAAGAUCCAGCCCAGACCCACUGAUUCUGAAUCUGCAUGUUAACAAGCCCCCAGGUGGCUGGCAUCAUAUUAAAGUGUUCAAAGCACUGGCUUAAUCAGAAAGUGUCUUGUGGUUGUGCUGAGGAGUUUUUAAUGCAUCAGACAUCAGAAUCUCUAGGGAGGUUUUUUUUUAAAUUUUAUUUUAAGAGGCAGGGUCCCACUCCGUCGCCCAGGUUGGAGUGCAGUGGCGCAGUCAUAGCACACUGCAACCUUAAAUUCCUGGGCUCAAGGAAUCCUCCCACCUCAGCCUCCCAGGAAGCUAAGACUACAGGCACAUGCCAUCAUACCCAGCUCAUUGUUUUAUUUUUUUGUAGAGAAUGGGUCUUGCUUUGUUGCCUGGUCUGGUCUCAAACUCCCGGGCUCAAGCAGUCCCUCUCCCUCAGCCUCUAAAGUGCUGGGAUUACACACAUGAGCCACCGUGCCCAACCACCUAGGGAGAUUUUAAUUAAACCAGUACCUCAGGUGGUGAGUCCUGAACACCCACAUUUCAUACCAUUCAUUCAGCAAAUGAUCACUGAGCACCAGGUCUGUGCCCUCCACCUGAAGGACCACACCUCCUCCUUCCCUGGAUGGGCGCUCAGGGCCCCCUCUCUAGCGUGCACUCAACAAACAUUCCAGGAAUCUGAUGCAAUGGUUCCCGUGCCUGAUUCACAACACUGUCCAUCUAGGGCUCACCCUGGUCUGCAUACCAUUAACACUUCCCCACUGCCCCUUGAGUCUUUGAGUGUGGUAACUCCUUCUGGAGGCCUCUCUGGAUCCUGCAGCCUGGCAUGGAUGUUCUCCUCUGUGGUCCCAUUGUACUUGGGGUUGCUUCUGUUUUAUGUUUUUUUGAGACACGCUCUCACUCUCUUGCCCAGACUGGAGUGUAGUCACGUGAUCUUGGCUCACUGGAGCCUUAACCUCACAGGUUCAAGUGAUCCUCCUGCCUCAGCCUCCCAGGUAGCUGGGACUAUAGACACGUGCUACUACAGUCAGCUAAUUUAUUUUUCGUAGAGAUGGGGUCUUUCUAUACGGCCCAUGCUGAUCUCAAACUCUUAGCCUCAAACAAUCUUCCUGCCUCAGCCUCCAAAAGUGCUUGGAUUAGAGUCAAGGCCACCCCACCUGGCCUUAGGGUUGCUUCUGUCGUAGCAUUCUCAUGCUGUCAGCUUGCCUACCCCUGGACAAGGAGGUCAUGAGCUUCCUAAAGACAGACGAGUGCUUUAUGCUUAUAUCCCAAGUACAUGGCACGGAACCUAGCACUCUGCAAGACCCUCAAUAAAUGUCCAUGGCAUGAAUAAACAAAUAAGCUACUAAAUUGAAAUAAGAAUCUAUGUGGGCUGGGCACGGUGGCUCACAGCUGUAAUCCCAGCACUUUGGGAGGCCUAGGCAGGCAGAUCAUUUGAUCCCGAGUAGCUGGGACUACAGGUGCCCACCACCACACCCAGCUAAUUUUUUGUAUUUUUUAGUAGAGACGGGCUUUCACUGUGUUAGCCAGGAUGGUCUCGAUCUCUGACCUCGUGAUCCGCCCACCUUGGCCUCCCAAAGUGCCAGGAUUACAGGUGGGAGCCACCGCACCCAGCCCAUGCUUCUGUUUUUUUAAACAGCGUUAUUGGGAUAAAAUUCACACACCUUACAACUCAGUUGUUUUUAGUAUAUUCACAGAGCUGUGCAGUCAUGACCAGUAAUUCCUGAACAUUUUCAUCACCCUAAAGAAACUCCAUAUCCAUGAACAGUCACUUCCUGUUUUCCCUCAGCCUCCUCCCCCAGCGCUAGGCAACCAUUAAUCUACCUUCUGACUCUACAGAUAAUUUGCCUAUUGUGGACAUUCCGUAUAAAUGGAAUCAUACAAUA